rnacentral:rRNA from 1 species
GACGAACGCUGGCGGCGUGCCUAAUACAUGCAAGUUGAGCGCUGAAGGUUGGUACUUGUACCAACUGGAUGAGCAGCGAACGGGUGAGUAACGCGUGGGGAAUCUGCCUUUGAGCGGGGGACAACAUUUGGAAACGAAUGCUAAUACCGCAUAAAAACUUUAAACACAAGUUUUAAGUUUGAAAGAUGCAAUUGCAUCACUCAAAGAUGAUCCCGCGUUGUAUUAGCUAGUUGGUGAGGUAAAGGCUCACCAAGGCGAUGAUACAUAGCCGACCUGAGAGGGUGAUCGGCCAAAAUGGGACUGAGACACGGCCCAAACUCCUACGGGAGGCAGCAGUAGGGAAUCUUCGGCAAUGGACGAAAGUCUGACCGAGCAACGCCGCGUGAGGGAAGAAGGGUUUCGGAUCGUAAAACUCUGUUGGUAGAGAAGAACGUUGGUGAGAGUGGAAAGCUCAUCAAGUGACGGUAACUACCCAGAAAGGGACGGCUAACUACGUG